rnacentral:tRNA from 1 species
GGCGGGGUAGCUCAGUGGUAGAGCAGGAGACUCAUAAGCUCUUGGCCGUCGGUUCAAAUCCGACCCCCGCUACCA